UUGGCCUAAUUGGAGAAAUUAAUCUUUUUUUAAAGUGGAACACUUUAUAAUAAAUAUUUUCCUUUCUAAGUGGAUCACUAUGCGAGUUCCAUUAUUGAAGUAUUAUUUAUUUUGGGAUAAUAGGAGAAAUUAAAUGUUUUCGGAAUAGUUGCGAUAUGAAUAUAUGUAUAAGUUAUACAACGUAUACGUUGUGAAUAAGCAAUAUCUAUUUCCGUAAAUUGCAAACAAUUUUCAGUAUACUCUGAAUCUGUAAAGACUUCAAGACCAAACAAAACUGCACAACAUUUCUACAAAUUCAGAUGUUCCCCGUUGAAGGAAGGCAUGUACCAAAAAGCAGGUCACGCAACGGCGAUAACGGUAAUCCGUGCAGUCGUGGUGUAACGGCGUUCACGUGGAAAAGCAAACGAAGAAAAGUGUUUUGCUCGCUUACCCGUAGAAUCACGGCAAGACACGAUUUAUAAUGACUGCGAACAGACUAAUGACCGGCUGGGUUUACCUUCGAGUCAUCGUAGCUAUUGCGACGACGGCAAUUCGGAAAUCCCGAGCUAAAUUGUCUCUUCUAACCGUAGUAGAAUCGUAUUAAAUUAAUCGUCAGAUGAAAAAUUCACGGUGAAUUACGAACUUCAAUACGUGGAAACUAUUUUCUUCGUAUAAUAGAUGCUUAACAGGUGCUUUAAAGAGAUUGUGUUUGCUUCGAAACCAGAAUAUUGAAAAUAUAUUGAUAUAUGGAUAUGUAACUUCCAAUGUAACGUAGCAUUAUAUAUAGAUGCUUAAUCUAAAUUCUAGUUUCGCUUCGUGCAUUUAAUCCUAGUUUUUUAAGUUGUAUAGUUUCGCUUAAUCUUAAAAUGAAAGUAUGUUAUUAAUACUUGCAAGUAAUAUCUUAUUAUCGAAGGAAAUCAGAGUUACGAAAUUUUGAUUUUUGCGAUAUCCAAAAUCUCUGACCUAAACAAAUACAAAUCUUAAGUUAAUUUUUGCAAUCGCACCAGAUAAGCCCUAUUAAAAAUGUAACAAAACCGAUAUAUGAUUACUAUCC
rnacentral:misc_RNA from 1 species